GGAGGAAAAGAACUAACAAGGAUUCCCCUAGUAACUGCGAGUGAAGCGGGAAAAGCUCAAAUUUAAAAUCUGGCGGCCUCUGGUCGUCCGAGUUGUAAUCUAGAGAAGUGAUGCCCGCGCUGGACCGUGUACAAGUCUCCUGGGAUGGAGCGUCAUAGAGGGUGAGAAUCCCGUCUCUGACACGGACUACCAGGGCUUUGUGGUACGCUCUCAAAGAGUCGAGUUGUUUGGGAAUGCAGCUCAAAAUGGGUGGUAAAUUCCAUCUAAAGCUAAAUAUUGGCGAGAGACCGAUAGCGAACAAGUACCGUGAGGGAAAGAUGAAAAGAACUUUGGAAAGAGAGUUAAACAGUACGUGAAAUUGCUGAAAGGGAAACGCUUGAAGUCAGUCGCGUUGGCCAGGGAUCAGCCUCGCUCUUCUGCGUGGUGUAUUUUCUGGUUGACGGGUCAGCAUCAAUUUUGACCGCUGGAAAAAGGCUUGAGGAAUGUGGCAGCUCCGGCUGUGUUAUAGCUUCAUGUCAUAUACAGCGGUUGGGAUUGAGGAACUCAGCACGCCGCAAGGCCGGGUUUCGACCACGUUCGUGCUUAGGAUGCUGGCAUAAUGGCUUUA
rnacentral:rRNA from 1 species